rnacentral:rRNA from 1 species
AUUGAACGCUGGCGGAAUGCUUUACACAUGCAAGUCGAACGGCAGCACGGGGGCAGCCCUGGUGGCGAGUGGCGAACGGGUGAGUAAUUCAUCGGAACGUGCCCGGUCGUGGGGGAUAACGUAGCGAAAGUUACGCUAAUACCGCAUACGAUCUGAGGAUGAAAGCGGGGGACCUUCGGGCCUCGCGCGAUCGGAGCGGCCGAUGUCAGAUUAGGUAGUUGGUGGGGUAAAGGCCUACCAAGCCGACGAUCUGUAGCUGGUCUGAGAGGACGACCAGCCACACUGGGACUGAGACACGGCCCAGACUCCUACGGGAGGCAGCAGUGGGGAAUUUUGGACAAUGGGCGCAAGCCUGAUCCAGCCAUUCCGCGUGCAGGACGAAGGCCUUCGGGUUGUAAACUGCUUUUGUACGGAACGAAAAGGCUCUGGCUAAUACCUGGGGCUCAUGACGGUACCGUAAGAAUAAGCACCGGCUAACUACGUG